rnacentral:rRNA from 1 species
UGGGGAAUAUUGCACAAUGGGGGAAACCCUGAUGCAGCGACGCCGCGUGAGCGAAGAAGGUUUUCGAAUCGUAAAGCUCUGUCCUAUGAGAAGAUAAUGACGGUAUCAUAGGAGGAAGCCCCGGCUAAAUACGUGCCAGCAGCCGCGGUAAUACGUAUGGGGCGAGCGUUGUCCGGAAUUAUUGGGCGUAAAGGGUACGUAGGCGGUCUAUUAAGUCAGGUGUGAAAGCGUGAGGCUUAACCUCAUUAAGCACUUGAAACUGAUAGACUUGAGUGAAGGAGAGGAAAGUGGAAUUCCUAGUGUAGCGGUGAAAUGCAUAGAUAUUAGGAGGAAUACCGGUGGCGAAGGCGACUUUCUGGACUUUUACUGACGCUCAGGUACGAAAGCGUGGGGAGCAAACAGG